CGCGGCCUAUCAGCUUGUUGGUGAGGUAAUGGCUCACCAAGGCGACGACGGGUAGCCGGCCUGAGAGGGUGACCGGCCACACUGGGACUGAGACACGGCCCAGACCCCUACGGGAGGCAGCAGUGGGGAAUAUUGCACAAUGGGCGAAAGCCUGAUGCAGCGACGCCGCGUGAGGGAUGACGGCCUUCGGGUUGUAAACCUCUUUCAGUAGGGAAGAAGCCCCUUUUGGGGGUGACGGUACUUGCAGAAGAAGCGCCGGCUAACUACGUGCCAGCAGCCGCGGUAAUACGUAGGGCGCAAGCGUUAUCCGGAAUUAUUGGGCGUAAAGAGCUCGUAGGCGGUUUGUCGCGUCUGCCGUGAAAGUCCGAGGCUCAACCUCGGAUCUGCGGUGGGUACGGGCAGACUAGAGUGAUGUAGGGGAGACUGGAAUUCCUGGUGUAGCGGUGAAAUGCGCAGAUAUCAGGAGGAACACCGAUGGCGAAGGCAGGUCUCUGGGCAUUUACUGACGCUGAGGAGCGAAAGCAUGGGGAGCGAACAGGAUUAGAUACCCUGGUAGUCCAUGCCGUAAACGUUGGGCACUAGGUGUGGGGGACAUUCCACGUUUUCCGCGCCGUAGCUAACGCAUUAAGUGCCCCGCCUGGGGAGUACGG
rnacentral:rRNA from 1 species